rnacentral:rRNA from 1 species
ACCCGCUGAACUUAAGCAUAUCAAUAAGCGGAGGAAAAGAAACCAACAGGGAUUGCCCUAGUAACGGCGAGUGAAGCGGCAACAGCUCAAAUUUGAAAUCUGGCCCUCGGGUCCGAGUUGUAAUUUGUAGAGGAUGCUUUUGGUGCAGUGCCUUCCGAGUUCCUUGGAACAGGACGCCUUAGAGGGUGAGAGCCCCGUACGGUUGGACACUAAGCCUCUGUAAAGCUCCUUCGACGAGUCGAGUAGUUUGGGAAUGCUGCUCUAAAUGGGAGGUAAAUUUCUUCUAAAGCUAAAUACCGGCCAGAGACCGAUAGCGCACAAGUAGAGUGAUCGAAAGAUGAAAAGUACUUUGAAAAGAGGGUUAAAUAGCACGUGAAAUUGUUGAAAGGGAAGCGUUUAUGACCAGACCUUUGUCUAGCGGAUCAUCCGGUGUUCUUCACCGGUGCACUUCGCUAGGCUCAGGCCAGCAUCGGUUUCUGUAGGGGGAUAAAGACCAUGGGAACGUAGCUCUCUCCGGGGAGUGUUAUAGCCCUAGGUGUAAUACCUCUACGGGGACCGAGGUUCGCGCUUCUGCAAGGAUGCUGGCGUAAUGGUCAUCAACGACCCGUCUUGAAACACGGACC